GGUCCGUGGCUCAGUGGCAGAGCAUAUUGCUUUGCAUACAGAAGGUCUCUGGUUCCAUCCCUGGCAUCUCCA